rnacentral:rRNA from 1 species
UGAGGAAUAUUGGUCAAUGGGCGCAAGCCUGAACCAGCCAAGUAGCGUGCAGGAAGACGGCCCUCCGGGUUGUAAACUGCUUUUAGUUGGGAAUAAAGUGCGGGACGCGUCCCGUUUUGUAUGUACCAUCAGAAAAAGGACCGGCUAAUUCCGUGCCAGCAGCCGCGGUAAUACGGAAGGUCCGGGCGUUAUCCGGAUUUAUUGGGUUUAAAGGGAGCGCAGGCGGACCCUUAAGUCAGUUGUGAAAUACGGCGGCUCAACCGUCGGACUGCAGUUGAUACUGGGGGUCCUGAGUUCACACAGGGAUGCCGGAAUUCAUGGUGUAGCGGUGAAAUGCUCAGAUAUCAUGAAGAACCC